rnacentral:tRNA from 1 species
GCGGGUGUAUUUCAAUGGCAGAAAACCGGCUUCCCAAGCCGAGAACGCGGGUUCGAUUCCCGUCACCCGCU